rnacentral:rRNA from 1 species
AUCGAACGCUGGCGGCAUGCCUUACACAUGCAAGUCGAACGGCAGCACGGGUGCUUGCACCUGGUGGCGAGUGGCGAACGGGUGAGUAAUAUAUCGGAACGUACCUUAUUGUGGGGGAUAACGCAGCGAAAGCUGUGCUAAUACCGCAUAAUCCCUAAGGGGGAAAGCGGGGGACCGUAAGGCCUCGCGCAAUUAGAGCGGCCGAUACCUGAUUAGCUAGUUGGCGAGGUAAAGGCUCACCAAGGCAACGAUCAGUAGCUGGUCUGAGAGGACGAUCAGCCACACUGGGACUGAGACACGGCCCAGACUCCUACGGGAGGCAGCAGUGGGGAAUUUUGGACAAUGGGGGCAACCCUGAUCCAGCAAUGCCGCGUGAGCGAAGAAGGCCUUCGGGUUGUAAAGCUCUUUUGUCAGGGAAGAAACAGCAGCUCUAACACAGUUUGCGAAUGACGGUACCUGAAGAAUAAGCACCGGCUAACUACGUGCCAGCCGCCGCGGUAA